rnacentral:rRNA from 1 species
GACGAACGCUGGCGGCGUGCUUAACACAUGCCAGUCGAACGGAAACGCCCUGCUUUUGUGGGGUGCUCUAGUGGCGAACGGGUGAGUAACACGUGAGUAACCUGCCCUUGACUUUGGGAUAACUUCAGGAAACUGGGGCUAAUACCGGAUAGGAGCUCCUGCUGCAUGUUGGGGGUUGGAAAGUUUCGGCGGUUGGGGAUGGACUCGCGGCUUAUCAGCUUGUUGGUGGGGUAGUGGCUUACCAAGGCUUUGACGGGUAGCCGGCCUGAGAGAGUGACCGCCCACAUUGGGACUGAGAUACGGCCCAGACUCUUACGGGGGGCAGAAGUGGGGAAAAUUGCACAAUGGGCGGAAGCCUGAUGCAGCAACGCCGCGUGCGGGAUGACGGCCUUCUGGUUGUAAACCGCUUUCGCCUGUGACGAAGCGUGAGUGACGGUAAUGGGUAAAGAAGCACCGGCUAACUACGUG